rnacentral:rRNA from 1 species
AAUGAACGUUGGCGGCGUGGAUUAGGCAUGCAAGUCGCGCGCGUAGCAAUACGAGCGGCGAAAGGGACAGUAAUGUGUAGGUCAUCUGCCCUCGGGACGGGGAUAGCCACGGGAAACUGUGGGUAAUACCCGAUGACAUCUUCGGAUCAAAGGUGUGAGUCCGCCCGGGGAUGAGCCUACAUCCUAUUAGCUAGUUGGCGGGGUAACGGCCCACCAAGGCAUCGAUGGGUAGCGGGUGUGAGAGCACGACCCGCGUCAUUGGGACUGAGACACUGCCCAGACACCUACGGGUGGCUGCAGUCGAGAAUCUUCGGCAAUGGACGCAAGUCUGACCGAGCGACGCCGCGUGCGGGAUGAAGGCCUUGGGUUGUAACCGACUGUCAGUGGGGAGGAAGGCGUCCGUGAAGAGCGGGUUUGACCUACUCCGCAGAGGAAGUGAGGGCUAAGCUCGUGCCAGCA